CUCAAGCUAGUCUUCUUAACCAUGGCAAAAACAACUUUCUCUCCACUUUUUCUUGGUCUGUUUCUGGUUUUGAUUAUGUUGUUGAAUUCCGAGCAAUGUGUGAAUGCUGAGUCCUGUUUGGACUUCGAACGUGAUGGGAACGUAAAAAGUAUAAAAGAAGACUGUGAAGAAGAAUGUAAAUCUCGCUUUGGAGAUAAGCUUUUGAGAUCCGGCUACCAUGACAUAACUUUUUUUCCUCGUACAUACCAUUGCACAUGUUGCAUCUCUGAUUAAACACCAACAAUUUCUUCUCAGAUGGACGUACCUGCUCAAUCAUCACCGGCUUAGUAUCCAUAUACAAUAAGAUUGUGAUGUACCAGCUAGGCUAUUGUAUGCCUAUCUAUAUCUGUUGAUUAUAUUUUCUUAGUAUUGAUCUUUUCUUAAUCAGCAUCGUUGUUCGAUGCUAUGUUCUUCGUUGUGAUUGUCAUUGACUAUCGUUUUGGAUUGCAGUAAGGAAUAUUGUUUUA